rnacentral:misc_RNA from 1 species
UCUUCCUCAUUUUCUUAACUCUCUACUUCUCAAACUCUCUGUCAGCUUGCCCAUUUUUUCUCUGCUCUAUGUUCACGCUAAUUUUCAGCAGGAACUCUUCCUUUUUUUUAUAAGAAAAUAUUGUUUUCAAUAAAUAUCAUUAUUUGCACCAUGCUUAGAUAUGAUUGUUUUCCUUCUCUUGUACACGUAGAUCUUCAUCCGCUGCAAUCCCAUCAACUGGACCAUAACCUAUUUUUAAAGUAUAUUUUAUGACAUCUUCCAACUCCUUACCAUCGAUGUAUCCAUCACGGUUACUAUCAGCAAUGCUCAUGGCCCGAUGAGCCCUAAAUGCCGGGUUCCGAGCUCCUAAUGAUUUGAAGGCUUGUGAAAGCUCUCGCACACUGAGAAGACCAUCUUUAUUACGGUCGGCGCUCUUAAAAAUUUGUCUUAAUUGAGCUUCGGUAUAGGGAAUGGAUUUCAUAUAGGGAAUGGAUUUCACGAAUUUAAGGCCGGUGGGCUUCUUCCUGCUAGGAAUAUCAGCAAGUAUUGGAUCAGCUGGCACGCACUUCAUAUGAAUGGCCAAAUUCCGUUGCUCACACCGAUAAAACAAUUCCCGCGAAUCUAUUUCUCGGCGACAUACAUCACAACUAUGGUCUUCUGGCUCAUCAUGAUGAGAAGAACUAGAGUCAAGAAAGAAACUAUACUGACCAUUGUUCAUCUUAAUGGUGCCUGGUAAAAUGCAAUUCACAUGAACAUCGUAGAAACAGUCGUAGCAUUUGUAGCUAACUGAACUACCAAGUUCAUCACAAACGCAACAUUUAUACUGAUAAUUAUA